AAAGAGAAAGAGGAGCCGGUAUCAGGCUCAAUAUGCCCAUGACACCUAGCCCCGCCACACCCCCAAGGGUAUUCAGCAGUGAUCAACAUUGUAAACUAGCGAAAGCUAAAUUCAGUUACUAGCUAAAAAAACCGGUCAAUCUCGUGCCAGCCACCGCGGUUAUACGGGCAGGUUUAAAUUGAUAACAUCGGCACAAAGCGUGGUUAGAUUCUCACCUUAAUAAAGCAAAAAUUAAGCCCGGCUGUGAUAUGCUUUCGCUUUUAAUAACCUCAAUCACGAAAGUAGCUUUAAUUCUUAUUGAACCCACGAUCGCUAGGGCACAAACUGGGAUUAGAUACCCCACUAUGCCUAGCCCUAAACUUUGAUUACUCCGCCUGGGAACUACGAGCGUCAGCUUAAAACCCAAAAGACUUGGCGGUGCCCUAUACCACCUAGAGGAGCCUGUUCUAUAAUCGAUAAUCCCCGAUUCACCUCACCACCUCUUGCCAAUACCGCCUGUAUACCUCCGUCGCCAACUGACCCCUUAAGGGAAAUAGUCGGUUAAAUGGCCUUCUUCCAGUAAGUCAGGUCAAGGUGCAGCGAAUGAGAUGGGAAGAAAUGGGCUACAUUUUCUACGAAUAGACUACACGAAAGAUCACUAUGAAAUCUGAUUGGAAGGUGGAUUUAGCAGUAAAAAGAGACUAGAGUGCUCUUUUUAAGUUGGCUCUAGGGCGCGCACACACCGCCCGUC
rnacentral:rRNA from 1 species